GCAUUGGUAGUUCAGUUGUAAAAUUCUCAUCUACCACGUGGGAGACCCAGGUUUGACUCCUGGUCAAUGCC
rnacentral:tRNA from 1 species